rnacentral:tRNA from 1 species
GGGAAAGAGCAGGUAAGAGCAGGAUGGGCGGCGCACGCUGGUCGGUCUUGAAAACCGUCGUGGCAGCGAUGUCACCGUGGGUUCAAAUCCCACACCCA